UACGGAGGGUGCGAGCGUUAAUCGGAAUUACUGGGCGUAAAGCGUGCGCAGGCGGUUUUGUAAGCCAGAUGUGAAAGCCCCGGGCUCAACCUGGGAAUGGCAUUUGGAACUGGAAGACUAGAGUAUGGCAGAGGAGACUAGAAUUUCUGGUGUAGCAGUGAAAUGCGUAGAGAUCAGAAGGAAUACCGAUGGCGAAGGCAGGUCUCUGGGUUAACACUGACGCUCAUGCACGAAAGCGUGGGGAGCAAACAGG
rnacentral:rRNA from 1 species